GUAGGUGGCAAGCGUUGUCCGGAAUUAUUGGGCGUAAAGCGCGCGCAGGCGGUUCUUUAAGUCUGAUGUGAAAGCCCACGGCUCAACCGUGGAGGGUCAUUGGAAACUGGAGAACUUGAGUACAGAAGAGGAAAGAGGAAUUCCACGUGUAGCGGUGAAAUGCGUAGAGAUGUGGAGGAACACCAGUGGCGAAGGCGGCUUUCUGGUCUGUAACUGACGCUGAGGCGCGAAAGCGUGGGGAGCAAACAGGGAUUAGAUACCCUGGUAGUCCACGCCGUAAACGAUGAGUGCUAAGUGUUAGGGGGGUUUCCGCCCCCUUAGUGCUGCAGCUAACGCAUUAAGCACUCCGCCUGGGGAUACGGCCGCAAGGCUG
rnacentral:rRNA from 1 species